rnacentral:rRNA from 1 species
AUGGCGCCCGCGUGGUCUUCAACUCUCUCGCCCCUUGUUGCAUCUGCCGUCUGCGCAAGCUUCGCGACGGCGACGACGUGGUUAGGCUGCCGGAGAAUGCCGAGCAUGGGGCGCUCACAGACGCUAGGUGGCCAACCUCCUCUCCUCCCGAGAGACCAGCUGAAAAGAAAACCUAUCGUGGCGCAUGUCCAAAAGGAAACUGGGAACGAUGUGAUGGUCAGCACGGAGGGGUUGCUCCAAGCUCAGCUUGAGCUCUACCACCACGCCAUGGCGUACGUCAAGUCUGCGGCGCUCAGGGCAGCCGCGGACCUACGCAUCCCCGACGCAAUUCACCGCUGCGGUGGUGCCGCCACCUUGUCCGACAUCGCCACUGAGAUCGGCGUCCAGCCGACGAAGGUUUCCCACCUCCGUAGGCUCAUGCGUGCCCUCACCAUCCUUGGCAUCUUCCUCGUCGGCCAAGGCCCCAACGGUGAGGCCACUGAUGUGCACUACAAGCUCACCUCGGUCUCGCGCCUCCUCUUGGAGGGCAGCUCAUGUACCCAGUCUCCCAUCGUGCGCGUGCUCGUGGACCCGCUGUCCUUGACCGCUCUCUGCAGCAUAGGGGAGUGGUUUACUGAUGAGAGAGCCUCGGCCCUCACACUCUUCGAGGUGGCGCAUGGGUGCACGCGGGAGGAGAUGACGGCGAAGAAGGGCACUCGUGGCGUCUUCAAUGUUGGCAUGAUCUCCGAUAGCCACCUCCUCAUGGAGACCAUCAUCAAGGAUCACCGUAACAUCUUUGAGGGCGUGAGCUCCCUCGUUGACGCUGGCGGUGCCCAUGGUGCCACGGCGGAAGCCAUCGCUAAGGCUUUCCCUCACAUCAAGUGCACCGUGCUUGACCUCCCACAUGCAAUCGCGGGGGCACCUGCCAUCGCCAAUGUUGAGUUUGUUGCUGGCGAUUUGUUUGAGUAUGUGCCACCAGUAGACGUUGUUCUACUCAAGUGGGUUUUGUGCUUGUGGCAGGAUGAAGAUGCUGUCAAGGUACUACGACGAUGCAAAGAAGCAAUAACCAGUAGAGGUGCCGUAGGGAAGGUGAUAAUCGUCGAUGUCGUGAUAGACUUCGGGAUGUCGCAGGAUGAUGUCCUUCUUAGGGAGACACAGGUUCUAUUUGAUGUCCAAAUGAUGCGUGUUGACGGGGGUGAGCGAGACGAGCAGCAGUGGAGGAAGAUUUUCUUUGAAGCCGGAUUCAGGGACUAUAAGAUCACUCCAAUGCUAGGAUUUCGAUCCAUAAUUGAAGUCUACCCUUGA